rnacentral:rRNA from 1 species
AGCGAACGCUGGCGGCAGGCUUAACACAUGCAAGUCGAGCGGGCACUUCGGUGUCAGCGGCAGACGGGUGAGUAACACGUGGGAACGUACCCUUCGGUUCGGAAUAACGCUGGGAAACUAGCGCUAAUACCGGAUACGCCCUUUUGGGGAAAGGUUUACUGCCGAAGGAUCGGCCCGCGUCUGAUUAGCUAGUUGGUGGGGUAAUGGCCUACCAAGGCGACGAUCAGUAGCUGGUCUGAGAGGAUGAUCAGCCACACUGGGACUGAGACACGGCCCAGACGGCGCGGGGGGUGCGGCGAGUGGGAGAAGACCGAGCAACGGCGCCGAACUGGUCACAGGGGUGUGGGAGUGUGCAGGGAGGCCUUAGGUUGGAGACUAUUUGUUGCCCGCUCCAAUAUAGCCGCAACCGGAACAAUAACCCCCGGCCAACUUGGUCGCAGCCGCCGCGGAACUAAGCGGAAGAGCACCCGUACGACC